AUUUUUAAAAAUGGACAUAUAUUAUUUAAUCGAUGAAUAAAUAAUGUGCACAAUGUCCCACAUCGCUUAGAAAAAUUGGGCAAUGGUUCAGAGCCAUCCUAUAAAAAGAACCAAAAUGAUUCCGAUUACGAAUGAGCAGGAAGCUUGAUUUAUCAGGCGUCCAAAAUUAAAAUGAUUAUCCGGUUUACUCGGGUUCUUUAUUUGAAAGAA
rnacentral:sRNA from 1 species